GUGCAGGGUACCAGGUAGUUGAGGUAAUAAUGAGACUAUAAGGAGUACCAGUACUGAGUCAAUGUGCAGGGUACCAGGUAGUUGAGGUAAUAAUGAGACUAUAAGGAGAACCAGUACUGAGUCAAUGUGCAGGGUACCAGGUAGUUGAGGUAAUAAUGAGACUAUAAGGAGAACCAGUACUGAGUCAAUGUGCAGGGUACCAGGUAGUUGAGGUAAUAAUGAGGCUAUAAGGAGUACCAGUACUGAGUCAAUGUGCAGGGUACCAGGUAGUUGAGGUAAUAAUGAGGCUAUAAGGAGUACCAGUACUGAGUCAAUGUGCAGGGUACCAGGUAGUUGAGGUAAUAAUGAGACUAUAAGGAGUACCAGUACUGAGUCAAUGUGCAGGGUACCAGGUAGUUGAGGUAAUAAUGAGACUAUAAGGAGUACCAGUACUGAGUCAAUGUGCAGGGUACCAGGUAGUUGAGGUAAUAAUGAGGCUAUAAGGAGUACCAGUACUGAGUCAAUGUGCAGGGUACCAGGUAGUUGAGGUAAUAAUGAGGCUAUAAGGAGUACCAGUACUGAGUCAAUGUGCAGGGUACCAGGUAGUUGAGGUAAUAAUGAGGCUAUAAGGAGUACCAGUACUGAGUCAAUGUGCAGGGUACCAGGUAGUUGAGGUAAUAAUGAGACUAUAAGGAGUACCAGUACUGAGUCAAUGUGCAGGGUACCAGGUAGUUGAGGUAAUAAUGAGACUAUAAGGAGUACCAGUACUGAGUCAAUGUGCAGGGUACCAGGUAGUUGAGGUAAUAUGUACAUGUAGGUCGGGGUAAAAGUGAGUAGGCAAUCAGGAUAGAGAUUACAUC